rnacentral:misc_RNA from 1 species
CAGCUGUGCAGCACGUGACAUCAGCUCCGUCUCUACGUCAGUGGAUUCACCGCCAUAGUAGGUACAGCAGUGCACCAAACACGACGCAUCGCCGUCUUGUCUGUGCUUCUUACACUUUCGUGCGCAUUUCCCUCCCCCUCAGCACUCCGCCUCCUUCCCCUUACUCAUCACACACGCACGCAUCUGUCAACUUCACAAUGCGCAGGGCACUCAUUGCAAGCGGCCUCAUGAGCCGGUGCACGCUGGCGCACCGCUACUGCUCCACCAAGCCUGCAGGCGACAACGCGAAGAUCGACGACUUGGCCACCGCCUACUCUCAGCUAACGCUGAGGGAAGUGUCUGACCUGCAGCGCCUCAUAUUCAAGAAGCUAGGUCACAGCGACGAAUUCUACGAGAAGGCGCUGCUGCGCGGUCUAGGCGGUGGCGGUGGCGCGGUUAUGAUGGCUCCAGCUGCGGCGGCGGCGGUGGCACCGGCAGCCGAUGCCCCGGCCGCAGACGCGCUCAAGACGGAGAAGAAGAAGGUUGAGAAGCUCACGUACGACGUUAAGCUCGAAAAGUUUGCGCCAGAGAUCAAAAUCAAGCUCAUCAAGGAGCUGCGCACAGUGACCAACAUCAGCAUCGCCGAUGCCAAGAAGGCAGUGGAGAAGUGCCCCGGUCUUGUGGCCACCAACAUGAGCAAGGACGACGCGGAGAAGCUCAAGGGGCUUUAUGAAAAGCUCGGGGCCAAGGUGGAGCUCCUCUAAGCACUGGAACACCACAGCGGCUGCGGCAUGGAAUGCCUGGCGUCUGCACUCAUUGAGUGGGCGUGCGUGUGUGUAUGUGUGUGUGUGUUUGGGCUUAAGGGAAAAAUAUAUGGAUGUGUGUGUUCGAGGUAUUCGGGCAACUAUCGUUGGCGUUGCUCGCUCUGCGUGCGUGUGUGUCCUCCUGGGAAUGUCUGUCUUGUAUGUGCAUCUGUCGGUAUGGAUUCCGUUGAUGAGCGUCUCACAUACUUUCUCUGUUGUAGUGUUGUGUUGCUCAUUCUGUGGGUAGGUGUGUCUUCUCUGAGCUUCUUUUCAUCGCCUCCUCUUCGCUGUGAGAGAGUUAGCCGCAGCCAGUAGGGAUCAACUUCGUCGCAGCGUCCACUUGUUAGCGUCGCUCCCCCCUCUACGUCCGCCACGCGUCUCCUGCGCUUUUC